GCUGGUGUAGCCUAGGGAUAGGGUAGAGCCAUGCCGGACUCUCGAUGAGGGUUCGAUUCCCUUCACCCGCU
rnacentral:tRNA from 2 species